rnacentral:rRNA from 1 species
CGGCAACAGCUCAAAUUUGAAAUCUGGCCCUUUCAGGGUCCGAGUUGUAAUUUGUAGAGGGUGCUUUGGCGUUGGCCGUGGUCUAAGUUCCUUGGAACAGGACGUCAUGGAGGGUGAGAAUCCCGUACAUGGCCGCCGGCCUUCGCCGUGUAAAGCCCCUUCGAC